rnacentral:rRNA from 1 species
UCUCUGAAUGGGGGAACCCACCUAGGAUAACCUAGGUAUCUUGUACUGAAUCCAUAGGUGCAAGAGGCGAACCAGGGGAACUGAAACAUCUAAGUACCCUGAGGAAAAGAAAUCAACCGAGAUUCCCUUAGUAGUGGCGAGCGAACGGGGAUUAGCCCUUAAGCUUCAUUGAUUUUAGCGGAACGCUCUGGAAAGUGCGGCCAUAGUGGGUGAUAGCCCCGUACGCGAAAGGAUCUUUGAAGUGAAAUCGAGUAGGACGGAGCACGAGAAACUUUGUCUGAACAUGGGGGGACCAUCCUCCAAGGCUAAAUACUACUGACUGACCGAUAGUGAACCAGUACCGUGAGGGAAAGGCGAAAAGAACCCCGGAGAGGGGAGUGAAAUAGAACCUGAAACCGUAUGCGUACAAGCAGUGGGAGCCUACUUGUUAGGUGACUGCGUACCUUUUGUAUAAUGGGUCAGCGACUUAUAUUCAGUGGCAAGCUUAACCGUAUAGGGUAGGCGUAGCGAAAGCGAGUCUUAAUAGGGCGUUUAGUCGCUGGGUAUAGACCCGAAACCGGGCGAUCUAUCCAUGAGCAGGUUGAAGGUUAGGUAACACUGACUGGAGGACCGAACCCACUCCCGUUGAAAAGGUAGGGGAUGACUUGUGGAUCGGAGUGAAAGGCUAAUCAAGCUCGGAGAUAGCUGGUUCUCCUCGAAAGCUAUUUAGGUAGCGCCUCAUGUAUCACUCUGGGGGGUAGAGCACUGUUUCGGCUAGGGGGUCAUCCCGACUUACCAAACCGAUGCAAACUCCGAAUACCCAGAAGUGCCGAGCAUGGGAGACACACGGCGGGUGCUAACGUCCGUCGUGAAAAGGGAAACAACCCAGACCGCCAGCUAAGGUCCCAAAGUUGUGGUUAAGUGGUAAACGAUGUGGGAAGGCUUAGACAGCUAGGAGGUUGGCUUAGAAGCAGCCAUCCUUUAAAGAAAGCGUAAUAGCUCACUAGUCGAGUCGGCCUGCGCGGAAGAUGUAACGGGGCUCAAACCACACACCGAAGCUGCGGGUGUCACGUAAGUGACGCGGUAGAGGAGCGUUCUGUAAGCCUGUGAAGGUGAGUUGAGAAGCUUGCUGGAGGUAUCAGAAGUGCGAAUGCUGACAUGAGUAACGACAAUGGGUGUGAAAAACACCCACGCCGAAAGACCAAGGGUUCCUGCGCAACGUUAAUCGACGCAGGGUUAGUCGGUUCCUAAGGCGAGGCUGAAAAGCGUAGUCGAUGGGAAACAGGUUAAUAUUCCUGUACUUCUGGUUACUGCGAUGGAGGGACGGAGAAGGCUAGGCCAGCUUGGCGUUGGUUGUCCAAGUUUAAGGUGGUAGGCUGAAAUCUUAGGUAAAUCCGGGGUUUCAAGGCCGAGAGCUGAUGACGAGUCGUCUUUUAGAUGACGAAGUGGUUGAUGCCAUGCUUCCAAGAAAAGCUUCUAAGCUUCAGGUAACCAGGAACCGUACCCCAAACCGACACAGGUGGUCGGGUAGAGAAUACCAAGGCGCUUGAGAGAACUCGGGUGAAGGAACUAGGCAAAAUGGCACCGUAACUUCGGGAGAAGGUGCGCCGGCUAGGGUGAAGGAUUUACUCCGUAAGCUCUGGCUGGUCGAAGAUACCAGGCCGCUGCGACUGUUUAUUAAAAACACAGCACUCUGCAAACACGAAAGUGGACGUAUAGGGUGUGACGCCUGCCCGGUGCCGGAAGGUUAAUUGAUGGGGUUAGCGCAAGCGAAGCUCUUGAUCGAAGCCCCGGUAAACGGCGGCCGUAACUAUAACGGUCCUAAGGUAGCGAAAUUCCUUGUCGGGUAAGUUCCGACCUGCACGAAUGGCGUAACGAUGGCGGCGCUGUCUCCACCCGAGACUCAGUGAAAUUGAAAUCGCUGUGAAGAUGCAGUGUAUCCGCGGCUAGACGGAAAGACCCCGUGAACCUUUACUGUAGCUUUGCACUGGACUUUGAGCCUGCUUGUGUAGGAUAGGUGGGAGGCUUUGAAGCGUGGACGCCAGUUCGCGUGGAGCCAUCCUUGAAAUACCACCCUGGCAUGCUUGAGGUUCUAACUCUGGUCCGUGAUCCGGAUCGAGGACAGUGUAUGGUGGGCAGUUUGACUGGGGCGGUCUCCUCCUAAAGAGUAACGGAGGAGUACGAAGGUGCGCUCAGACCGGUCGGAAAUCGGUCGCAGAGUAUAAAGGCAAAAGCGCGCUUGACUGCGAGACAGACACGUCGAGCAGGUACGAAAGUAGGUCUUAGUGAUCCGGUGGUUCUGUAUGGAAGGGCCAUCGCUCAACGGAUAAAAGGUACUCCGGGGAUAACAGGCUGAUACCGCCCAAGAGUUCAUAUCGACGGCGGUGUUUGGCACCUCGAU